rnacentral:tRNA from 1 species
GGGCCCGUAGCUUAGUCUGGUGGAGCGUUCGACUGAUAAUCGAAAGGUCCCCGGUCCAAAUCCGGGCGGGCCCA